rnacentral:rRNA from 1 species
GACGAACGCUGGCGGCGUGCUUAACACAUGCAAGUCGAACGAAGAGCGAUGGAAGCUUGCUUCUAUCAAUCUUAGUGGCGAACGGGUGAGUAACGCGUAAUCAACCUGCCCUUCAGAGGGGGACAACAGUUGGAAACGACUGCUAAUACCGCAUACGAUCCAAUCUCGGCAUCGAGACUGGAUGAAAGGUGGCCUCUAUUUAUAAGCUAUCACUGAAGGAGGGGUUUGCGUCUGAUUAGCUAGUUGGAGGGGUAACGGCCCACCAAGGCGAUGAUCAGUAGCCGGUCUGAGAGGAUGAACGGCCACAUUGGGACUGAGACACGGCCCAGACUCCUACGGGAGGCAGCAGUGGGGAAUCUUCCGCAAUGGACGAAAGUCUGACGGAGCAACGCCGCGUGAGUGAUGACGGCCUUCGGGUUGUAAAGCUCUGUUAAUCGGGACGAAUGGUUCUUGUGCAAAUAGUGCGAGGAUUUGA